AGAACGAACGCUGGCGGCAUGCCUAAUACAUGCAAGUCGAACGAACUCUUCGGAGUUAGUGGCGCACGGGUGCGUAACGCGUGGGAAUCUGCCCCUUGGUUCGGAAUAACAGUUGGAAACGACUGCUAAUACCGGAUGAUGACGAAAGUCCAAAGAUUUAUCGCCAAGGGAUGAGCCCGCGUAGGAUUAGCUAGUUGGUGAGGUAAAGGCUCACCAAGGCAACGAUCCUUAGCUGGUCUGAGAGGAUGAUCAGCCACACUGGGACUGAGACACGGCCCAGACUCCUACGGGAGCAGCAGUAGGGAAUAUUGGACAAUGGGCGAAAGCUGAUCCAGCAAUGCCGCGUGAGUGAUGAAGGCUUAGGGUUGUAAAGCUCUUUACCGAGAUGAUAAUGACAGUAUCGGAAGAAAUAAGCCCCGGACUAACUCCGCGCCAGCAGCCGC
rnacentral:rRNA from 1 species